rnacentral:rRNA from 1 species
UAACGAUACGGGACUCAUCCGAGGCCCCGUAAUCGGAAUGAGUACACUUUAAAUCCUUUAACGAGGACCCAUUGGAGGGCAAGUCUGGUGCCAGCAGCCGCGGUAAUUCCAGCUCCAAUAGCGUAUAUUAAAGUUGUUGCGGUUAAAAAGCUCGUAGUUGAAUCUGUGUGCCACGCUGUUGGUUCAUCGCUCGCGAUGUUUAACUGACAUGUUUGUGGGACGUCCUACCGGUGGAUUUAGCUCCUCACGGGGCGGUCCAGCUAAUAUCCCAUCGCGGUGCUCUUAAACGAGUGUCGAGGUGGGCCGGUACGUUUACUUUGAACAAAUUAGAGUGCUCAAAGCAGGCUAUGUUCGCCUGAAUAUUUUUUGCAUGGAAUAAUGGAAUAGGACCUCGGUUCUAUUUUGUUGGUUUUCGGAACCCCGAGGUAAUGAUUAAUAGGGACAGAUGGGGGCAUUCGUAUUGCGACGUUAGAGGUGAAAUUCUUGGAUCGUCGCAAGACGGACAGAAGCGAAAGCAUUUGCCAAAAAUGUUUUCAUUAAUCAAGAACGAAAGUUAGAGGUUCGAAGGCGAUCAGAUACCGCCCUAGUUCUAACCAUAAACGAUGCCAGCUAGCGAUCCGCCGAAGUUCCUCCGAUGACUCGGCGGGCAGCUUCCGGGAAACCAAAGCUUUUGGGUUCCGGGGGAAGUAUGGUUGCAAAGCUGAAACUUAAAGGAAUUGACGGAAGGGCACCACCAGGAGUGGAGCCUGCGGCUUAAUUUGACUCAACAC